GAACAAUUCAGCUGUCUCUUUAGAAAACUUGACAAAAGGAAAUGCUCCCUGCUGAAAAUUUUCUUAGCCUGUUGCACAAAAGAUGAAGUUUGUUUAAGAAAUUGCUGCUAAAGAAAGCGUCAACCCAUUAAGGUAAUAUGGAAGCAAAUAUUCUCAGAAACCAACGGAGAAAUUGAGCUGAUUCGGACACAGAAGAGCCAGCUACCUUCUGUUUUAUUUUAGCUUUGUUGUUUCAUCUUCGUCAUAUCGUAUCCAAGUAAAAUUGGAGGAAAAUGUCAGAAGAAGCUUACAGGCUCACACUCCCUUCUGCGACCUUGUUGAAGAAGGUACCUGCUCCCCUUUUGUCUUCUGCCAUGAUUGUAAGGAUCCUGAGGCCUCCGAGCCAUGCUUCCUGUUAAUCCUGUGGAACUAUCCUGGCUAUGGAGGAGGGUUCCAUUCACCCCAUUCUUAUCUGUUGCUCUACAAUGUACAGCUGAUGUUUUACAAUAAAAAUACGGAGUCAUGCUAACUCCACAUGCCCUACCAUUCACUCUCCCCAAGCCAGUAACAAAGCAGGAGACUCGGCUAAUAUAAUAUUUAGACUAACCGUGAAGAAAAAGAUCUUUCUCCCUUCUGUACUCUGAAUAAAUAAAUUAGUCUGACCAAAUGAAGAAA
rnacentral:lncRNA from 1 species